UUGGCUUGAUAACUUUGCUUUUCUUCACCUUGAGUUCAGGAUUUCAACCUUCCUUCAUUAUCGCUCCAGACGGUUAAAACUGGAAACUAAAACAUGUUAUUGAUUGUAGAGGACCAGCUGAUUGGCCAAACUCAGCGUGGUUCGAACGUGAUUUUGUUAGAAGUCGUCGUAACUCAAAAAGAUGGAUGCAGACUGAGGCAGAGCAGCAUCAGCAAGAUCAGGAAGAGGAAGACGCCUACCACAGGAAGCAGAAGUAGUUCGAGGCGGUAGUCAGGCGAUGGGGGAUCGUCUGCUUCUAAACAAGAAAAUACCACAAGUUGGCCUAAAUGUAAACGAUGAAUCUGAACAGCUGCUCUGUGCUCUAAUAAUCCUUUAUAAUAGAUGUGCUUUGUGCAGAGGAAGACGUCAGAAGAACCUGAUCAAUCAAACAUUGAAUAGUGUUUGAAUCACUUAUUCGUAGCCUGAAAGUGUGAUGGCAUUUUAUUUAUUUCUCGAUGGGCACCUUCAAACUCUUUGGUUUGUUGUGGACACGUUUCACACGUCUCGGUUUCGUAGCCGUUCAUCCGUCCUCCGUCUUUCUCGGUCGUUCACCAUUUUGAAAACGUGGGUUCAUGUAAAAACCUCGAAAAAAAUGAAUCAAUGCGUGAAAGCCAGAAGUCGGCCGGAGAUGAUUAGCUGCAAGUUAAUGUCGGGUUUAUUUAAUUUCUGCUCCACAGAAGAGAAAUAAACUGUUAUUGACGUACAAAUCAGUCUUUUGAAAAACCUUCAAGAGCUCUUUGUUUGACGAAUGAAAGAGACGCGUUGUUUGUUCAUGAGGCGUGCUACUGAAACCCGAGUCGGAGGUGGCAUCGAAAAAUACUGUGUGGAAUCUCUAACUGUGGUUUUGACUGCUCAGAAUGUAAUUAUAAGAAGUCUGACUGGUCUCGUCGUAGUGUAACAGCGACGAGUCAAAGCGAUGUUGUUGGUGUGUAUACUUUUAAUUCCAGGGAGUCAAACUCGGCCAAUGAAUGUUCAAUUUUCAGGACCAGGAAGUAUCUGAUAAGUGGCGUCUACAGCUUUUAUUCUGAUCAGUUCCUGAGGUUUGCAAAGGGAGCAUCAUGCUAAUUCCAUGCUAACGUGCUGUUUUGUUGUGAUCACUUAGAGGUGAAAGAGGGUUAAUUUCUGGUCACUUUUUACCCAAACGUCCAGUCACAGUGAAGGAAGGCUCAGGGCCGAUACCGACCACCUGUCUGGCUCUUCAACCACAAAAUCUCACGAACCCACGUAGUUUCAGCUUUUCCCUUAUCCAGGGCAGGAAGUCUAUACCUUGUACCAACACUGACAACACAAACUGUGCCUGAAUUUAGCAACACGUUAGACGUUGCUUCUAAAGUGCUUUCACGAUAGCGUCUUCCAUUUUCAGCCGGGCAAAACUUUGGUGGUUACAUCCCCUCGAAGAGAAACUUCAAGAAAGGUUGGGGAGCCAAUAAGACAUGUACUAGCAUUCAAUUAGCCUCGAAUCCGUCCAAAUUCACGGAGCUACGAAAACCAAGAACUUUGUGAAGAUGCACGCAUUCAGAUCCUAAAUAUGUCGACAUCCUCAUGACUCAUAUUUUUGAUUAAAUAAGCAAAAAAGACGAA